rnacentral:rRNA from 1 species
AAUCCUGGCUCAGGAUGAACGCUAGCUACAGGCUUAACACAUGCAAGUCGAGGGGCAGCAUUUCAGUUUGCUUGCAAACUGAAGAUGGCGACCGGCGCACGGGUGAGUAACACGUAUCCAACCUGCCGAUAACUCCGGGAUAGCCUUUCGAAAGAAAGAUUAAUACCGGAUGGCAUAUGAUUAUCGCAUGAUAAUCCUAUUAAAGAAUUUCGGUUAUCGAUGGGGAUGCGUUCCAUUAG